rnacentral:tRNA from 1 species
GGGGAUGUAGCUCAGCAGGAGAGCACUUGCUUUGCAAGUAAGAGGCCCUGGGUUUGACCCCCAGCAUCUCCA